GCUGUGGGAAAAGCUGAGCACCGUCUCCUGGAAGCAGCAAACACAAAUCCAUGGUGGCAACAGAUGCUGGACCUGCUGCCCUACCUGGGAGUGCCACGGAGGAGUCUGCUGUCUGCCUGGCCUCUCCUCUUCCCUCCUGUGGGUCUGGGAUGAACUCAGCCCAUGCAUGGCUGUGGCUGUAAUUUAUUUUGCUUCUCUGCCUCGGACACUUCUCCCGUGGAGAUUUCUUUUCCAUGCAAAGGGGUUCUCACUUGCAGCAGAUAUGGCAGAGUGCAUCCCUCAGCCUCCCUCCACCUGGUCCAUGGGCCAGCAGCCCCCCAACACCUCUACUGCCUGCCCACUGGAGCCUGUGAACCUGGGUGUCUUGGAGCAGCAAAUGCCACUGGAGCAGCCCCCAUCCUCCCCGGAGCUGGGUGAGGAUGAGGAUGUCACCUCCCCGCCAGAUCCUGAUGUCCCCUACCCUGACUUGGCCCCGGUCGUCUUCUUUUGCUUGAAGCAGACCACCAGCCCACGGAGCUGGUGCAUCAAAAUGGUGUGCAACCCAUAUCCUUUCUGAGCUGCCUCUUCUCCAUCCUCACCUCCUGCCCCGUCCCUCCUCUCUCCCUGUCCCCUCAGGGCGCCUGCCAGGUAAGCAAUGAACUUUCCUAUGUAUUUAAUGAACCGCU
rnacentral:lncRNA from 1 species